rnacentral:rRNA from 1 species
GAUGAACGCUGGCGGCGUGCCUAAUACAUGCAAGUCGAGCGAACGGACGAGAAGCUUGCUUCUCUGAUGUUAGCGGCGGACGGGUGAGUAACACGUGGAUAACCUACCUAUAAGACUGGGAUAACUUCGGGAAACCGGAGCUAAUACCGGAUAAUAUUUUGAACCGCAUGGUUCAAAAGUGAAAGACGGUCUUGCUGUCACUUAUAGAUGGAUCCGCGCUGCAUUAGCUAGUUGGUAAGGUAACGGCUUACCAAGGCAACGAUGCAUAGCCGACCUGAGAGGGUGAUCGGCCACACUGGAACUGAGACACGGUCCAGACUCCUACGGGAGGCAGCAGUAGGGAAUCUUCCGCAAUGGGCGAAAGCCUGACGGGGCAACGCCGCGUGAGUGAUGAAGGUCUUCGGAUCGUAAAACUCUGUUAUUAGGGAAGAGCAUAUGUGUAAGUAACUGUGCACAUCUUGACGGUACCUAACCAGAAAGCCACGGCUAACUACGUG